ensembl:snRNA U1 U1 spliceosomal RNA
AUACUUACCUGGCAGGACAGACAGCAGGACCGCGAAGGUGGUUUUCCCAGGGAGAUGCUCAUCCAUUGCACUAUGGCUGUGCUGACUUCUGUGAUUUCCCCAAAUAUGGGAAACUCAACUGCACAAUCUGUGGUAGUGUGGGAAUGUGUCUGCACUUUCCCCUG